GUUCAACUUUGGCUGCCCAUUUACCAAAAUUGGACUGAGACAGAGAAGAUUAAUGUGGCCCCUGCACAGAAAGACGGGCAAAUUCCUACAGCUUUCCACUCCUCA
rnacentral:snRNA from 1 species